rnacentral:rRNA from 4 species
AAUCCAUAGGUUAAUGAGGCGAACCGGGGGAACUGAAACAUCUAAGUACCCCGAGGAAAAGAAAUCAACCGAGAUUCCCCCAGUAGCGGCGAGCGAACGGGGAGGAGCCCAGAGCCUGAAUCAGCAUGUGUGUUAGUGGAAGCGUCUGGAAAGGCGCGCGAUACAGGGUGACAGCCCCGUACACAAAAGCGCAUGUGCUGUGAGCUCGAUGAGUAGGGCGGGACACGUGGUAUCCUGUCUGAAUAUGGGGGGACCAUCCUCCAAGGCUAAAUACUCCUGACUGACCGAUAGUGAACCAGUACCGUGAGGGAAAGGCGAAAAGAACCCCGGCGAGGGGAGUGAAAAAGAACCUGAAACCGUGUACGUACAAGCAGUGGGAGCACCCUUCGGGGUGUGACUGCGUACCUUUUGUAUAAUGGGUCAGCGACUUAUAUUCUGUAGCAAGGUUAACCGUAUAGGGGAGC